rnacentral:lncRNA from 1 species
UAAGGGUUAGGGUUAGGGUUCAAUUUUCUGUUAAAUGGGUUCAAUUUCAUGAAUUUGCUGUUGUUUAGUGUCAAAUUAUGGUUCAGUUUGAAGAAUUUGGUGUUAAAUUGGUUCAAUUAAAUCAAUUUGCUGAUGUUUAGUGGUAAAAUAUGGUUCAAUUUUAUUAAUUUGCUGCUAAAUGGGUUCAAUUUGAUCAAAUUGCUGCUGCUUAGUGUUAAAUUAUGGUUUAAUUUGAUUAAUUUGCUGCUAGUUAUGGAUUUGUUUUAUGAAAUAUGAUUGAAUGUGUUCCCGGCCAUCGUGCCGGGUCGUUGAGAAGGGUCCGGCCAUCGUGCCGAGGGGGUAUAUGUGGGUGGGUUUUUUUUAUGCAGGUAUAAAAUUAGGGUAGACUCAUUUGUUGUUUUACAGCAAUGGUCAUGCCGAAAUUUUCUUGUUUUACAGCAUAGGUCAUGCCAAAUUUUUCCGUUUUUUUUAAAUUACUUUUAUAUGUGUUGGUUAGGAAUCUCAGGCUCGCGUUGAAGAGGUGCCUGAGCAGCCACCGGUUGUGGAGGGAGAAGUCGAAGAAGAAGCGGGGGCAUCUUCCUCGAGCUCGGAAAUUGCCAUGAGCGAUGGCUUCGAGCAUGGCGAAGAAGGAGCCAAGGAGC